AUGCUAGAUCAUCCAAGUUGUAAACCACAACUUGGAUCUUCAGCGAGCACCAACAAACCAGUUGACUUGAGCAACGUUGACACAAGACUCCCAAUGCUCGUAUACAUUUCCCGGGAGAAGCGCCCGGGUUAUGACAACCAAAAGAAGGCAGGCGCCAUGAACGUGAUGCUCCGCGUCUCCGCCUUACUCUCCAAUGCGCCUUUCGUCAUCAACUUUGACUGCGACCACUACAUCAAUAACUCACAAGCUCUCCGCGCACCUAUGUGCUUCAUGCUCGACCCUCGCGAUGGUCAGAACACGGCCUUUGUCCAGUUCCCACAACGCUUCGACGAUGUCGACCCGACAGAUCGCUACUCCAACCACAAUCGUGUCUUCUUCGAUGGCACCAUGCUUUCGCUCAAUGGUCUCCAAGGGCCAACCUACCUCGGCACAGGCACCAUGUUCCAUCGAGUCGCGCUCUAUGGCAUGGAGCCACAACGCUAUAGAGCGGAGAACAUCAAACUGGUAGGUAAGGGCGCUGAGUUGGGUAAGUCGACGCCAUUCCUGAACUCAAUACCAGAUGGCGCAAUCCAAGACCGGUCUAUCACCCCGGUGUCGGUUGACGAGGGGCUCAUGAGUGACCUGGCCACCCUGAUGACAUGCGCUUACGAGGACCGGACUUCAUGGGGGAGAGACGUCGGGUGGGUGUACAACAUCGCGACGGAGGAUGUGGUGACCGGAUUCCGCAUCCACCGACAAGGGUGGCGUUCCAUGUAUUGCUCCAUGGAGCCAGCCGCGUUCCGUGGAACGGCACCGAUCAACCUCACCGAGCGCCUCUACCAGGUGCUCGGUGGUCAGGCGGCUCCCUCGAGGUGUUCUUCUCCCACAGCAACGCUCUCAUCGCCAGCCGUCGGCUCUACCCUCUACAGCGCAUCGCUUACCUCAACAUGUCGAUCUACCCGAUCGCCACGAUGUUCGUCCUAG
rnacentral:rRNA from 1 species